rnacentral:lncRNA from 1 species
AUGUGCCCUGUGAGCCAGGCAGGCUGUGACAACGCACAAAGCAGUCAGAAGCUCUCAGAGGUCGGCACUCAUGCCAUCUGCGGAGGAGUCAAUACAUUAAGAAGGAUUAAUCCAUCAGAUUUGUCUGAAAGGUGCAUCUCACAGCGCAGGAGCAGACGCAGCAUCUCUCUCCAGGAGGCCAGGUGGUGCCUAUCUAUGUCGCCUCGAUCAGAGGAUGCCAAACCAAAAAGUAAACACAAAAAAGGAAAAGAAGAAAAAGCCCUUUAGAAUAGAAUUCCUUUGGUACAAGUAUAUAUUUUUUCCUUUUAUUCGAGCUAGUAAUUUUCUUAGAGAAACCUGAAAGAAAGAAAAGAGAGGGCUGAAAAAGACGUAUGUGAUUGAAAUUAGCUGUUAUCUUCAGGAUGCCACUGGAUUGCACGUGGAUAAUGAGUUAAAUGAAGGAGAAACCAUGGCCUGAGCUGGAAGUGUGCUUUGUGCCUAAUGUAAUUAAUCUCUAUUGAAACAGCUAAGCCAUUUAAUUUGUGUUGCAUGAAUAAUGAAAUGAAAGGGGCACGUAUGAAUUAACUUUUUAACCAGCAGAGAAGAUGCAACCUCCAGGCUUGAAAAUGGAUUGGGAUUUUCCUGACAACUCUUUAGAUUCGUGUGUAUCGGCCACAAUGCCUUCCUCUCAUUGGUCGGUCAUGGAUUGGUGUUGCUUUUUAGCUAUUUCUCGUCCAUUGAGACUUUUGGGAAAUCUACAUCACAGGGAUAGUUUUGAACAGUGGCUCAAAGGGUGCGUGCAUAGCGCAGUUAGCUGCUCGCUGCAUAUCCCUUCCCUGUGAAGUAUUUAGCUUUCUCCUUUCAAGAUUCCCUUCCUCUUAAUAGUAGGGAAGAGCAGGUAGGGGAGUGAUCCCACAGCUAGUGUCAUGUUGGGCUGUGCAUCUGAGACCACCAUGCUCCUUUGAAAAGGCCCACAUGGUUGCUUGGGCCUCAGAGGGAGAACAGUGCCAACAAGGCCUCAACCCUUUGUUCAUUCUAAGCCUGGAACUGAGCCCCCUUCCUUAAAUUCCUUUUGCAUUUAACACAGUUUUCCUAAAGACUUAGUAACAGUACGUGAUGAUUAUUAAUAAGAGACAAGCUUAGUGCUAACUAUCCCAGAAUCUGGCUGCUGUGCCCUCCACCAGCAUCUCUGCUGGCUUUCCCGCGCCGGUGCCUGUCACCACAUCACAGGCACUAGUCUCAUCACAUCCUGGGGCCAAAUCUCUGGGCAGAGGUGGGAGGGUGAAUGGUUGAAUAAUAUUUCUCAAAAACAAAUAAGAAUUUUUAAAUUCCUUUUUAAAAAUUGAGGAAAAAUGUUAUCUGAAAGAGUGCUGAUUUUUGGUAAUGUACGUAACUUAGAAAUGUGCCUCUUUAGUAACCUGUAUUUCUCUUUGCCAUCUCUCUCUUUCCUUGCCUCUUUCUCCCAUCAUCACUAGAACAAACAUACUCAUUCACUGCUGAAUCAGGGAAUAAGGCAGCACUCUGACUAUCUCAUUCUAGACAAAAUGUAAUCUUAAAGUGGAAACAAUAGAAGCCAGAGGCAAGAAAAACAAGGGAAAAGGGGAGAGAUUUAGUGGUGCAUAAGCACAAGUAAAAAUGCUGUCAAUUAUAGUUCAGUAGUACAAGUUACUGAGUGGUUUUAGCUAAAUAGAAAAGGCAGCCUUUGAAGGUAUAGUCUGUCAGCCUUACAGUAGGGAAUCUGCAUUCCAGCCUUAACAAUUCUUUCAGUGUAAUGGGUAUAUAAAAGGGUGAGGUCAUCACCCAGCUGGCUCGCUGGACCAGAGUGGCAAUCUAGUGUUCCAUGGGUCCACAGAAUUCCUCACACCCUUUCUUUAUUAUCAAAGCAGCUUCAAAGGUGGGGAAAAUUGCUGUAACACUCUCUGUUCCACCUUCCUUUUUAGUACCCUUCUCAGCUGUGGGAUCCAUUCUACAAGGCCAAAGUGCCCUAAUGCUCCUCCUAAACUGCCCUGAGGACCACACUGGGUCCACGCCCUCAUCAAAUAUGCUUUCACUGUGCCUUUCCUUUCAGCUAGCUCCUGGAUAGAAUAAGACCUAAAUAAAUGUAUCCACACUAAGGUGUUAAUUCA